rnacentral:rRNA from 1 species
UACGUAGGGUCCGAGCGUUGUCCGGAAUUAUUGGGCGUAAAGGGCUCGUAGGCGGUUUGUCACGUCGGGAGUGAAAACUCAGGGCUUAACCCUGAGCGUGCUUCCGAUACGGGCUGACUAGAGGGAUGCAGGGGAGAACGAAUUCCUGGUGUAGCGGUGGAAUGCGCAGAUAUCAGGAGGAACACCGGUGGCGAAGGCGGUUCUCUGGGCAUUUCCUGACGCUGAGGAGCGAAAGCAUGGGGGAGCGAACAGG